UACGUAGGGUGCGAGCGUUGUCCGGAAUUAUUGGGCGUAAAGGGCUCGUAGGCGGUCUGUCGCGUCGGGGAGUGAAAACUCAGGGCUUAACCCUGAGCCUGCUUCCGAUACGGGCAGACUAGAGGUAUGCAGGGGAGAACGGAAUUCCUGGUGUAGCGGUGGAAUGCGUAGAUAUCUGGAGGAACACCGGUGGCGAAGGCGGCAUCCUGGACCACAACUGACGCUGAGGAGCGAAAGCCAGGGGAGCAAACGGG
rnacentral:rRNA from 1 species